GGGAAGCGCUGAAGUGCUGCGCGUUCCGGAUGAGGUAGUAGGUUGUAUAGGAUUUUAGAGAGUGCCAUAGCAACUACUAUACAACCUUCUAACUUGUCAGGAAGCGUAUUAAAAUAUCGACAAAAUACG
rnacentral:precursor_RNA from 10 species